CGCAGCUGCUGCUGAGAGAGAAGGAUGCAAACGCAGAGCAAAAUGCAGCUACAAUCAGAUGGUGUAUAUGAACUGUAAAUAUGCUACUUUUGAGCAAAUAAAGUGCUACUAGGAAAGAAGAAACGUGUGGGACUGUUUUACUGCUCUUUCUACACGAACUGCUGUGCAAUUCUGCUAAUUGCUUUACGACCUGCAGAGGAGUGCAGGGAAGUGUGCCGGACGCCAAGAGUAAAGCAAUAAAUCU